AUUUAGAUAGCUUAAUAUUGAAAGCGUAAUAUUGAAGAUAUUAAUAUAGAAUUUAUUUCUUCUAGAUA
rnacentral:tRNA from 2 species